GUACCCUGUCAACAAUUUUAAAAAAAAACAACAUCCAAACCUCAAAACACAGCGAUAAGCCUCUUAUCACGUGAUCAAAUUCUCGUACUAUUUUCAGCAAUAACGGACAUACAGAGAAGAGGGAUUUUGACGAGCAAAGGAUUUCUAUUUCAAGAAAACAACUUAUUCGGACCGCCUGCAAAUGAAGUUCCCUGGAAUGAAAGGCUGGUUAUUGACAGUAUUGUUGAUUUGUAUAGGAUGGUCCUAUAUCGUCACGGCAGCUAGCGAUGUUUCCAAUGGCGCAGAAGCCGAGCCCCCAACACCGGAAGCGGAACAGAACAAUGGCACUCAAGCUCCAGUUGUCGAACCGUCCCCAGAGCCAGAGUCCACGGGUAGCCCUGAUGGAGGCGCCGGCUCUCUUCUUCCCGUCAGUUUAUUAUUAGUUAUCUCUAUAGCUACACUCAUCCAACUGCUUCUGUAAAUUAAUGUAAGGUUGAAUUAGCUUUCGUCCAGUUGAUCGCUCACACACAUGGUCCAAAAAUUAUCUUGUCUAACCUCUCGGCAUCUUUUAGAUAAAUAUUUUAUCUUCUUUGCAGAAGUGUUCAUAUUGUAAAAGCUCAUUUUUUAUGCAUUUAAAAUAAUACUAUUUACUAAUUAAAAACAUCCCACGCUUGGCCACAUAAAAUGAUUCAUGGCACUUAAUGUUUUGUAUUGUAAGUACGAGUAUAUCAAUUUGAUGUGUAUGUGCCUUCAACGCCAUCUUUGUAGAGGAAAUAAAAACCCAGUAGUUUGCUCAAAGCAUCGGAUUCAGUGUUGUAGGAAUUGUAGCUCUAUGUAUAGAUUAUAUCAUAUCUAUCAUUAUUUGAAUUGUUUCCUGUAUUGUAAUUUUAUUCCAAAUUAAUUAUUUAAUUUAUUCAUCUAAUAGAAUCUCAAUAUUUUUUUCCGCCUUUUAUUUAUUUGUAGGUGUAAUGUUUUCUUUUUUAUAAAAUAAACUGAUUUAAACAUCAUAAA